CAAAUCUAUAAAUAGAAACGCGCAUAUAUUUAUGUGUGAGUGUAUGUAUGGUGUGCCAGUACGUCCGUCUGUCAAUCACGCUGAAACGAUUUCUUGUAAAUUGAUAGAUCUAUUAUAGUUUGUCAUUUCUGACAACCACACAUGAAGGAUUCUUGUUAUUUUUUCCUCAACAAUGAGAGCUUACUAGAUCUAUACUACUAGAAUCGAUAAGAGGUCACAAGUGAUGUCUUAAUAAUUUAAUGUCUAGAACUUUCCUUCACAUUAUUAAGCAAAAUUAAGCUUUGUUCAGUCCGAGCAUUCUAUUUGUGUAUGUAGGCCUACUGCAAUGAAGGCCAGAGGAGAGCUUUACUUUAUGAGUAUAGUCACCGAGGCUCAAUGAAUUUAUUAAUAUUAAAAAUAAUAAGAGCGAAAUAAUAAAUAAAGCAAUGAGCCUAACAUGUUUUCUUCAUCUAGAUACCGGAUGAAUAGUGCACUCAAGAUUCCAAGAAAAUAUUUUAUCGGAACGUCUCACUCCGUUAUACUCUAACGUUGGAAUGGGCCCUUCCUAAUACGGUGGUAGACGCUCAGAACGCAGGAAAACACUUGGCGGAGUUAAAGGCGCUUCGUCAGACUACCUUGCUGGAUGGAGAGGGAACAUGGUGCCUCUCUAAUAAUAUCUCUAGGAAGAACUUUUUCAGACAUAAAAAUAAAAUUACAUACAAAGCACUAUACAUAUGGAUAUAUAUUCGCAAUGUAAUAUAAAUAUAUCUCUGUUCCGUGUGGUAUUAUUGUUUCAGUUGGCCUAACAAUGAACUCUUCUUUAUGUAUGAAAGAGAUAAUAGUAGUUUUUAGCUUCUGAUAUUGAUGCUGAAAAUAGUGAAACCUGUCUUUUUACCUGCUUGAGUGGACCACUUACAAAUUCUCAGUAACCUUGUUUUUUUUUUAAAUAUUCACUAAAAGUAUUCUAAAGUAUAACAACUAAAUAAAAUUCAAUAUUUGUACAUUUUAUUGUAAUAUAUUUCUUAAUUUUUUGGACGUUAAAAAAUACAGUAACAUAAUGACAAUAUAAACUCAAGACACUUCUUUUAUUUCAACGUAGGGAUAGAGACAUCAUUUAUUUGAUUCACAAUGCAUAUAUAUUGGGAGUGGGGCCAAAGCAUUUAAAACGCACAUUUACGAAAAAAACAAUAUCAGCAGAAUGAAACACAAAUCAUAAUUGUCAACAUUGGCACUUAUUUUUUUUUUGUACACAUUUUGCGUGAGCAGGUUUGACUUUAUCUCUACAACAGAAUACACAAGCUAGAGGGAAACAAAACAACAGAUAUCCAAAGUUGUAUACAAUAUGUAGCAAUGCAAAAUCAGUUUGGUCCUAGACAAAUGCAGUUAUAUAAAGAUUAUUUUGGUGUUUAAAUGGGUGAACUGUUCACAGAAAUAUAAGAAUCAUAUUUCUGCUAGUAAUUAAAUUCUUGCACUAAAUAUUAUGUAAUGCUUUUUCAUCUGUUCUAUAUAAUCUACCAUUAUGCGUCUUAAUACUGGAAAUGAGUAUGUACAAAAGAAGUGGUUAAGAAACUCUAUGAAUAUAACUAGUUAUAAAUAAAGAAUACUCAGGUAUGUACAGGUAUGACAGUCCUUAUUAGUUGCAUAAUAAACAAAGAAUUCAAGUUUCCGAUCAAUAAAAGCACCAAAGUGAAAAAUAAAUAAUGUUGAUUGCAGUGGACUGAAUUAAAUGAUUAAAAAUUCCUUGUGACCACUGAGUCCUCAAGUCAUACCUUGAUGGUCACAAAAAUAGUCAUGCAAGGAUGAAUUAAGAAAUGGCAUUUUAAUGGUAUGGUAAACAAAACAACAACAAAAAUGCAGUGGCCUGAGGUCAUGUCAAGUCAGGUAGUUAUUUUUUCUCUCUGUAAAUGUUCAUCCUAAACAGUUGUAACAGUAAAAUGAAGUUAACAUUAUUAAAUUCUAAGCAGAACCUCCAUCAGGAUAGAGGGGGUGACAGUAGGCAGGGUUUGAACUUAGGACUAUCAAAAUAACAGCAAAAUAUGCAUAUAUACAAUCAUCUCAUUUACAUUAACAGCACCAUACUAGCACUGGUAAGAAUUCAGAAAAAUUAUCCAAGUUUUCAAAUUCUGCAUUCAAUGUAAUAAUCAUGAUUCAUGGAGUUUUCAAGUUCUGAUUUGAUGUAGUAUUCUGAUUUGAUGUAGUAUUCAUGUAAUGUAAUGCACUAUGACUUUUUACGCUGUUUCAGGUUGAGACUUUUGGAAGAAAAGAUUAAGCUCUAUCUGCUUGUCUCUUGCUUUCAGAGCACUGGAAGUUGAGUAGGGAUGUCCACUUGCUUCUAGAGAUAACUUUUCAAAUAAAAUAAUCCAUUUCAAAUAUACUAGCACAGAUAGUUAUCAGUCAAUCAUUGGAACACUUGAAAUAUUAAAAAAAAAAAAAAAAAAGAAGCCAACAUAAAACUAAACAAAA